rnacentral:rRNA from 1 species
UACGGGGGGAGCAAGCGUUGUUCGGAUUACUGGCGUAAAGAGCUCGUAGGCGGUCUGUCGCGUCUGCUGUGAAAACUCAGGGCUUAACCCUGAGCUUGCAGUGGGUACGGGCAGACUAGAGUGCGGUAGGGGAGACUGGAAUUCCUGGUGUAGCGGUGAAAUGCGCAGAUAUCAGGAGGAACACCGGUGGCGAAGGCGGUUCUCUGGGCCUGUACUGACGCUGAGGAACGAAAGCGUGGGGAGCGAACAGG